CAGACCUGAAAGAACCAGAAAACGAGUAUACAUUGGAGUGCGACGAAUGUUUUAAUUUCAGAUCUAUUCUAUCCAACCGAACCAAGUGGUCUUGAACAGGUGAUUAAGCACUAAGAUGCGGUUUCAAAGUCAUUGUUGCAAAUGGAAAUUAAGAAUAAGGGGCAAGGCCGGCUGCAAAUUGAAUAAUUGAGUUGAUUGGAAAUAAUACCGGUAGUAUUUUCGCAACAAAUCGAGAUUACGAUACUUAGUUUCCUUCCGCACUUGGUCAUCAGAGAACCCAGCCAUAAAGAGAAGGGUGAUCCCAAGUGCUUUGAAGAAAAAACUUCCUGUACGAACAUGAACCAGCAACGCCAUUUGGCACAUGAGUGGUCCAAACGACUUCAGCUUGUUACGCCCCAUCCUCUGCCGCACGUACCUAGUCACCCAAUCCCCCACUACCCUAUAAUAUGUGUUUACUCCUGUAUGCUUCAAAGACGGAGGUAAAAUAUAAACAUUCAACCAUGUUCCAAAACUGAUAACGAACGAACAAUCCAGCGAAACUUUUCGUAGUGUUGGUACACAAUUCAGUGUGCCAACACUACAAUAUGUACAGUCCUGUUUAUUUGCAAACCUUGCUCAUUCAAAUUGUACCUCUAAUAUAGAAGACGAAUGAAUAGCAAAGUGAAGCAUCUAUUCACUUUGUUCAUGAAGAAUCUGAAUUAUUAACAUGGUGCUCCAACUUGCAUAAUCGAAAGGGACUGAGUCAAUGAUUGUAAAAGAAGGUGAAAUACUU
rnacentral:lncRNA from 1 species